rnacentral:rRNA from 1 species
CGAAGGAUGCAAGCGUUAUCCGGAUUCAUUGGGUUUAAAGGGUGCGUAGGCGGACUGAUAAGUCAGUGGUGAAAUCUCUUUGCUUAACAAAGAAACUGCCAUUGAUACUGUCGGUCUAGAGUAUAGAUGACGUUGGCGGAAUAUGACAUGUAGUGGUGAAAUACUUAGAUAUGUCAUAGAACACCGAUUGCGAAGGCAGCUAACGAAACUAUAACUGACGCUGAGGCACGAAAGUGCGGGGAUCAAACAGGAUUAGAUACCCUGGUAGUCCGCACCGUAAACGAUGAUUACUCGUUGUUGGCGUUAUGACAGUCAGCGACCAAGCGAAAGCGAUAAGUAAUCCACCUGGGGAGUACGCCGGCAACGGUG